UGGCUCUCGCAUCGAUGAAGAACGCAGCGAAAUGCGAUAAGUAAUGUGAAUUGCAGAAUUCAGUGAAUCAUCGAAUCUUUGAACGCACCUUGCGCCCUUUGGCUAUUCCGAAGGGCAUGCCUGUUUGAGUAUCAUGAACACCUCAACUCUCAUGGUCUGCCAUGAUGAGCUUGGACUUUGGGGGUCUUGCUGGCGUAACCGCCGGCUCCUCUCAAAUGAAUCAGCUUGCCAGUGUUUGGUGGCGUCACAGGUGUGAUAACUAUCUACGCUUGUGGUCUUCCAUCAGGUUACCUUCAGUAAUGGAGGUUCGCUGGAGCUCACAGACGUCUCUCCUCUGGGAGGACAGCUUUUUAAAAGUUUGAUCUCAAAUCAGGUAGGACUACCCGCUGA
rnacentral:misc_RNA from 1 species